CAAAAGCACUAUGUAGAAUACAGGCCCAGUAUUUUGAGAGAGAUGUGUGGGGAGAGCCAUGUCUCAUAUAACCCCACCACAGAAAGUGUUGUAUUCCUCAGGUACUGCUUGAGCUCCUGCAUCUUCCUGAUGAGAGAUCUGGAGUUCCACAGAAGGAGAGUCAGAUUCAUUAAUGGAAGAGUAAGGAGAGAGUGGAGGAAAGGGCAGGCCAAAGCCUGACCUGGAUGUCCAGAAAUGUUGUGCCCCUCUGGUACAAGUGCCUAGGUAUGGGGGCACUGGACCACUUCCAGAGGGACGGGAACAGCACAAACCGCACUCCUCCCACUGACGUCAGGGCAAUGGGGCCCCCGGCCAUUGGCAUGACGUUCCAGUGGUGGUACCCCUCGUGGCAGUUUUGGAGCGGAUGGUACUGAUGACAGGGACGGUAACCACACCAUCCAGUGGAAGCCACUUCAUCCCCCCAACAGAAGUAGCUGGGUGCAUCCAUGCAGGAAUCCCCAUUCACCCCCCACCACCGGCGACUCACUGCGUGCAAACAGAUGGCACAGGUUGGCCUUUAAAGGACGAACCAGAAGACCGAGGCUUCCCCUAGAAAGGACUGGAAAGGAUCGACACCGCUUUUCUCACCCAUCCCAUUCACAUCACACAAUAAAAUCUCAUAUCCCUGCCAUCACCAACCCACUCUACUACUAUCUGUGGUUCAGAUCCCACGUAAAACUGUAGGUCCC